rnacentral:rRNA from 1 species
UUUCAGAGAUGAGAAUGUGCCUUCGGGAACCGUGAGACAGGUGCUGCAUGGCUGUCGUCAGCUCGUGUUGUGAAAUGUUGGGUUAAGUCCCGCAACGAGCGCAACCCUUAUCCUUUGUUGCCAGCGGUCCGGCCGGGAACUCAAAGGAGACUGCCAGUGAUAAACUGGAGGAAGGUGGGGAUGACGUCAAGUCAUCAUGGCCCUUACGACCAGGGCUACACACGUGCUACAAUGGCGCAUACAAAGAGAAGCGACCUCGCGAGAGCAAGCGGACCUCAUAAAGUGCGUCGUAGUCCGGAUUGGAGUCUGCAACUCGACUCCAUGAAGUCGGAAUCGCUAGUAAUCGUGGAUCAGAAUGCCACGGUGAAUACGUUCCCGGGCCUUGUACACACCGCCCGUCACACCAUGGGAGUGGGUUGCAAAAGAAGUAGGUAGCUUAACCUUCGGGAGGGCGCUUACCACUUUGUGAUUCAUGACUGGGGUGAAGUCGUAACAAGGUAACCGUAGGGGAACCUGCGGUUGGAUCACCUCCUUACCUUAAAGAA